rnacentral:rRNA from 1 species
GACGUAGGGCGCGAGCGUCGUCCGGAUUUAUUGGGCGUAAAGAGCUCGUAGGCGGUUUGUCGCGUCUGCCGUGAAAGUCCGGGGCUCAACUCCGGAUCUGCGGUGGGUACGGGCAGACUAGAGUGAUGUAGGGGAGACUGGAAUUCCUGGUGUAGCGGUGAAAUGCGCAGAUAUCAGGAGGAACACCGAUGGCGAAGGCAGGUCUCUGGGCAUUAACUGACGCUGAGGAGCGAAAGCAUGGGGAGCGAACAGG